ACGCCCUUCGCUGUGGAGAGCCGCGCCCGGGUCCGCCCCACAGCCCGCGGCUGCCCCAUAGCCGCCCCAUAUCCGCCCCAUAGCUGCCUCAGAGCCGCCCUAUAGCCGCCCCAUGGUGGCAUAGGGAUCCACCCCUGUGCUCCACGGCGCCCCAUAGCGGUCUCUAUGGGUCUCUGUGCCUCGUUUAGAUCCCUAUCAGUCACUACAUCUGCUAUAGAUCACUAUGGAUACUGUGAGUUCCUAUGUGUCAUACAGGUCCUUAUAGGUCCCUGUGGGUCCUUUGGGUCCCUGUGUGUUCUAUAGGUCGUUAUAGGUUUCUAUGGGUCCUAUGGAUCUCUAGGGGUCAUAUAGAUCCCUAUGGGCCUCUAUGGGUCCUAGGGGACCCUGUGUAUCCUAUAGGUCCCUAUGGGUCCUUUGGGUUCUAUUUGUUUUCUGCAGAUUCUUGUAGCUCUUUAUAGGUCUCUAUAGCUUUCUAUAGGUCCUUGUGGGUAUGUACGUGUCUUGUAGGUCUUUAUAAGUGUCUAUGGAUCUGUAUGUGUUUAAUUGGUCCCUAUAGAUCACUGUGGAGUUUUAUGUCUUCCAUAGAUCUCUAUGGGUCUUUAUGUUUUCUCUAGGGUACUAUAGAUCUCCAUGUUUCCUGUGGGUCUCCAUGGGUCCCUAUAGGUGCUAUGAUCUCUAUGGGGGGGGAGAGGACAAUUAUAUUUCAUCCCUUUUAUCCCUCCGCGCCGGGUGGGGCCGCUGUGCUCUCCUGGGGGGGUCCCGGAUAUGGGGUGGGGGGGGAGAAAUGGGGAGGGCACUGAAAGGAAGGGGAAGGGCGGGGGCACCGGUUGGGGGGGGGGGGGCAGAGAGGGAAGGGGGGGGGGGAAGUGCGGCCUCUUCCAUUGCAGCGCUGCAGUGGGGACAGAGCGGUGUCCCCCCAAAAAAUUGGACUCCCUCCCUCCCCCCCCCAAAGCUGAGCGCUGCGGACUGCCCCGUGGUGCUGAGGUUUCGUCGCCUCCGAAGGACAGCAGCGGCCGCAGCCCCCCCUUCCCCCCCAUUCACUGCGUUCCCCUCUUUGAGUCCGCCCCGAGGGGAGGGGGUGUGGGAAAAAGGGGCGGAGCCUCCGCCCGCGCGGGAGAGAUCUCUCAGCCAAUCGAAGAGAAGGAGCGGUUCCCACGGUUCCAUUGAUGAAAAAAGGCGAAGAGGGACCUUUCCUUGGAAGCCCUCCCCGGCGGGGGGGGGGGCUGUUAAACUUGGGGGGGGGCUCAGUGUGAGAGAGGGAGGGUCCCAAAGGGGAUCAGUGUGAUUGGGG
ensembl:lncRNA